UAAAUUAACACCAAAAAUAAUUAAUUUAAAAAAAAAAUAUAGCGACUGUUUAUAACGACAUUCAAACGAACAACACAGCGACAUUUAUUAGCGAUUGUCGCUGUAAUUGGUUGCUGAGUCCAGCGACAGACAAACGAACAAUGUAUGUUGUCGCUGGUUGCUGUCGCUAGUCGCUGUUGCUGGAUCCAGCGAUAAGAAAACGAACAGAACCUAUGUAAACUAUAAUAUAAACUAAGAAUUCAAAUAUGACGCUUUAAAAAAGUAAGAAAAA
rnacentral:sRNA from 1 species